rnacentral:rRNA from 1 species
UACGAAGGGGGGCUAGCGUUGCUCGGAAUCACUGGGCGUAAAGGGUGCGUAGGCGGGUCUUUAAGUCAGGGGUGAAAUCCUGGAGCUCAACUCCAGAACUGCCUUCGAUACUGAAGAGCUCGAGUCCGGGAGAGGUGAGUGGAACUGCGAGUGUAGAGGUGAAAUUCGUAGAUAUUCGCAAGAACACCAGUGGCGAAGGCGGCUCACUGGCCCGGUACUGACGCUGAGGUGCGAAAGCGUGGGGAGCAAACAGG